GUGAGAAAACCAAAGCUCAGAGAGAGAGGCUCACAUGGUUCCAACAGAACCAGGACUGUGACCCAGGCCCCCUGACUCCCACCCAGUCCAGUGAGACCUGCAUCUCAGGAAAACCUGAGUAUCAAUCCCACUCUUUCCUGCAGAAGAAACAAAACAAAACAGAGUGAGUGUCUUCCAGAAUGUUUUUCUCCUAACAAUCCCUACUUUCCCCACGUUUAUGCUGACUCAUGGCAUAGCAAAAAAAACAAGUGGAAGAUAACGUCCCUCUUAAGUACUUCUCUCUCUGUGGUUUUGGUCCAUCAAAGAAAAACCUGUGAUUGCCUGUAAUCACCUGGGUAACUGAAGACAUGCCGGCCGAUGAUUCAUGAUCAUCAACCUCGAAAGCACCCGUGACGUCGUUUCCUUGGUGAAAUGCUACCAUCCGUCUUCUCUGCCGUCUCCUGUGUGCUCUGCUGGUCCCUCUCACCUGGAUCAUGCCCAGCAACAUUUCAGCUCAAAUCUCUUCCAACAAAAACAGAAAGCGUUCUCUCUCAAGGCCACUCCCACCUCCACUGUGACCACAUUCAGGGCCAGACCAGAUUGCUCAGUGGACUGAGUACUCAGGUACCCUCUCCCACGUGUAAAGUCAACAUUAAAACAACGAAUAGAAGGCC
rnacentral:lncRNA from 1 species